rnacentral:tRNA from 1 species
GCAGUAAUAGCUUAAAAUUAGAGCAUUGGUCUUGUAAGCCAAAAGUGAGAAAUAUGACUCUUACUGCU